rnacentral:rRNA from 1 species
GGCCGCGGUAAUACGAAGGGUGCAAGCGUUACUCGGAUUUAUUGGGCGUAAAGAGCUCGUAGGCGGCUCGGUAAGUCGGGUGUGAAAACUUAGGGCUCAACCCUGAGACGCCACUCGAUACUGCUGUGGCUAGAGUCCGGUAGGGGAGCGUGGAAUUCCUGGUGUAGCGGUGGAAUGCGCAGAUAUCAGGAGGAACACCAGCGGCGAAGGCGGCGCUCUGGGCCGGAACUGACGCUGAGGAGCGAAAGCGUGGGGAGCAAAC